rnacentral:rRNA from 1 species
CCUACGGGAGGCAGCAGUGGGGAAUAUUGCACAAUGGGGGAAACCCUGAUGCAGCGACGCCGCGUGAGUGAAGAAGUAUUUCGGUAUGUAAAGCUCUAUCAGCAGGGAAGAAGCAAGACGGUACCUGACUAAGAAGCCCCGGCUAACUACGUGCCAGCAGCCGCGGUAAUACGUAGGGGGCAAGCGUUAUCCGGAUUUACUGGGUGUAAGGGGAGCGUAGACGGUAUGGCAAGUCUGAAGUGAAAGCCCAGGGCUUAACCCUGGGACUGCUUUGGAAACUGUUAGACUAGAGUGCUGGAGAGGUAAGUGGAAUUCCUAGUGUAGCGGUGAAAUGCGUAGAUAUUAGGAGGAACACCAGUGGCGAAGGCAGCUUACUGGACAGUAACUGACGUUGAGGCUCGAAAGCGUGGGGAGCAAACAGGAUUAGAUACCCUUGUAGUC